AGAGUUUGAUCCUGGCUCAGAACGAACGCUGGCGGCAUGCCUAACACAUGCAAGUCGGACGCUUUUGGGGUUUCGGCCUCAAGGGAGUGGCGGACGGGUGAGUAGCGCGUGGGAACCUGCCCCUUUGUGGGGGAUAACCGAGGGAAACUUCGGCUAAUACCGCAUGCGCCCCGGCGAAAGCUGGGGGAAAGAUUUAUCGCAGAGGGAGGGGCCCGCGUCGGAUUAGGUAGUUGGUGGGGUAACGGCCUACCAAGCCGGUGAUCCGUAGCUGGUCUGAGAGGAUGAUCAGCCACACUGGGACUGAGACACGGCCCAGACUCCUACGGGAGGCAGCAGUGGGGAAUAUUGGACAAUGGGCGCAAGCCUGAUCCAGCAAUGCCGCGUGAGUGAUGAAGGCCUUCGGGUUGUAAAGCUCUUUCGGCGGGGACGAUGAUGACGGUACCCGCAGAAGAAGCCCCGGCUAACUUCGUGCCAGCAGCCGCGGUAAUACGAAGGGGGCGAGCGUUGUUCGGAUUUACUGGGCGUAAAGGGCGCGUAGGCGGCGGGUCAAGUCGAGUGUGAAAGCCCCGGGCUCAACCUGGGAAUUGCGCUCGAGACUGGUCUGCUUGAGUUCGGGAGAGGAGAGUGGAAUUCCCAGUGUAGAGGUGAAAUUCGUAGAUAUUGGGAAGAACACCGGUGGCGAAGGCGGCUCUCUGGACCGAGACUGACGCUGAGGCGCGAAAGCGUGGGGAGCAAACAGGAUUAGAUACCCCCGUAGUCC
rnacentral:rRNA from 1 species